CCUACGGGUGGCUGCAGUAGGGAAUCUUCCACAAUGGGCGCAAGCCUGAUGGAGCAACACCGCGUGAGUGAAGAAGGGUUUCGGCUCGUAAAGCUCUGUUGUUGGAGAAGAACGUUCGUGUGAGUAACUGUUCCCGCAUUGACCCUAUCCAACCAGAAAGUCUCGGCUAACUACGUGCCAGCAGCCGCGGUAAUACGUGGGUGGCAAGCGUUAUCCGGAUUUAUUGGGCGUAAAGCGAGCGCAGUCGGUUGCUUAGGUCUGAUGUGAAAGCCUUCGGCUUAACCGGAGAAGUGCAUCGGAAACCGGGCGACUUGAGUGCAGGAGAGGGCAGUGGAACUCCAUGUGUAGCGGUGAAAUGCGUAGAUAUAUGGAAGAACACCAGUGGCGAAGGCGGCUGUCUGGACUGCAACUGACGCUGAGGCUCGAAAGCGUGGGUAGCGAACAGGAUUAGAUACCCUUGUAGUC
rnacentral:rRNA from 1 species